AUAUUUACCUGGAAGGGGAAAUACCAUGGUCAUGAAGGUGCUUUUCCUAGGGUGAGCACCUGUAUAUGCUGAUCCCUGCUAUUUCCCCAGAUGUGGGAAACUCAACUGGUCAACCAUAUAAUUUGUGGUAGUAAAAGACUGAUUGAGGCUCAGAGCCUAUGG
ensembl:snRNA U1 U1 spliceosomal RNA